CGAGAAAUUAGCAUUAAGGAUGCAUGUGUGUGACUUGGGGCAAAUCGCCGUGCACUUUGAAGCCUUCCAUGCUUGUCAUCUUAGUUUAGCUUGCUAGCCGCUAACAACGAUAGCAGAGUGCCCUCAAGGGAAACUCAGGCGAACAAGAGGAGAACCAGCGACAAUGUCAACUACUGGACGCGGUUUCAAGAUCAUGUUCGUGCUACAAAGAGCAGUUCCUCUUUUGGAGCUCGGGCGGCGCUUUGUGCCCCCGCUCUCAAUUACCACCUCCUUGUCCUGCGCGCCUGCUCCCAAUCAGCACUCAUCACUGCCCAUAUUUAAGUCCGCCUGAUCCAGGGAUCCGGCGCCAGAGUAUUCGGACUCAUUUGCGUGCUCCUCCCGUGUCUCCCGCUUCGCUGCCAGCUCCAACCACGGCGUUAAGCUCUUCCACCUCUUCACGCUCACGCUUCUGGCACGUUCCUUGUUCCCACGGACCACUGUCACGCCUUGGAUACGCAAACUCUGAGUCACUCCAAAAUACACCAUUCCCAUCUACUCCCUCCACCUCAGUCUGCUUUUGGGUCGAGUCCAAUUACAUACGAUUACGUAUCGUGACAUAUUCACUGAUAUACCUCAUUUCAGCGUGAAGGACUUUUCAAACUUUUACUGUACCUAUGUAUAAUAUGCACUAUUGACUUGUAUGCACUAUUAUACAUGAGAAAUUAUGGUAUGUGCGAUCACUGCGAUUAACUAUCGUCAUCUUCCCCACAGA